rnacentral:rRNA from 1 species
GACGAACGCUGGCGGCGUGCCUAAUACAUGCAAGUCGAGCGAAGUUUUUCUGGUUCUUGCACUAGAAAAACUUAGCGGCGAACGGGUGAGUAACACGUAAAGAACCUGCCUCAUAGACUGGGACAACUAUUGGAAACGAUAGCUAAUACCGGAUAACAGUAUUUCUCGCAUGAGAGAUAUUUAAAAGUUGGUUAUGCUAACACUAUGAGAUGGCUUUGCGGUGCAUUAGCUAGUUGGUGGGGUAAAGGCCCACCAAGGCGACGAUGCAUAGCCGACCUGAGUGGGUGAUCGGCCACACUGGGACUGGAACACGGCCCAGGCUCCUACGGGAGGCCGCAGUCGGGUAUCUUCCGCAAUGGGCGAAAGCCUGACGGAGCAACGCCGCGUGAGUGAAGAAGGAUUUCGGUUCGUAAAGCUCUGUUGUUAGGGAAGAAUGGAUAUGUAGUAACUAUACAUGUAAGAGACGGUACCUAACCAGAAAGCCACGGCUAACUACGUG